UACAGAGGGUGCAAGCGUUAAUCGGAAUUACUGGGCGUAAAGCGCGCGUAGGUGGAUACUUAAGUCGGAUGUGAAAUCCCCGGGCUUAACCUGGGAACUGCAUUCGAUACUGGGUAUCUUGAGUAUGGUAGAGGGAAGUGGAAUUUCCGGUGUAGCGGUGAAAUGCGUAGAUAUCGGAAGGAACACCAGUGGCGAAGGCGGCUUCCUGGACCAAUACUGACACUGAGGCGCGAAAGCGUGGGGAGCAAACAGG
rnacentral:rRNA from 1 species